CCGAUGCGGUGAGUAACAGACGCCAGCUAUUGCUCCGCGCGGUCAGACUGUAGGCACAGCCAGCCGCCGCAAGUUCUGUUAUAUCAAAGGCAUGGGAGAGACCGGACCCAGUUUUAAAAUAGCGGGAAAGGGAUGCGCCGCCGCUGUUGUUUGACCAGGCUGGAUUAGAAGCUACGGGUCAGGCUUAGCUUAUGAAGAACACGAAUCUGUAGACCGCGAGUGGCCGACUCAGAGUAUUAGUGCUCGUGAGGUUGGGUCCGUUUCCGGUGGAUGGCGCCGCGGCAGAGGGGUAGUUGCUUUGAGAUGGCGCAGCGGGGUCUGUUAUCCCAACGGGUCCCUGUCCUGAAAGCAGCCAAAAGCCCGCAAUAGCGCCUAGGCAGGGGCACGCCCACUGGGGGCCACGCCCGGGGAAAAGAGGCACCUAGUCGUCGGCUUCACACUUCGGCAGGAGCAAAUGCCCAAAAGUAACCAUAGCCUGUAGGUUUUUCCGAAGGAGGUCUCGUGAAGGGCCGAGCUACCGUGUGGAGCUGCAUUCUAUCCGGAAGGCCAGCCCCAGCGGGUAUGCUGUCGCGCGGCGAAGCACCCAGGCUGAUUUGCCUUGGGCCGGCAGGUUUAGGUCGCAUGCAUCCGGAAGGCCAGCCCCAGCGGGUAUGCUGUCGCGCAGCGAAGCACCCAGGCUGAUUUGCCUUGGGCCGGCAGGUUUAGUCGCAUGCAUCCGGAAGGCCAGCCCCAGGGGGUAUGCUGUCGCGCAGCGAAGCACCCAGGCUGAUUUGCCUUGGGCCGGCAGGUUUAGGUCGCAUGCAUCCGGAAGGCCAGCCCCAGGGGGUAUGCUGUCGCGCAGCGAAGCACCCAGGCUGAUUUGCCUUGGGCCGGCAGGUUUAGGUCGCAUGCAUCCGGAAGGCCAGCCCCAGGGGGUAUGCUCUCGCGCGGCGAAGCACCCAGGCUGAUUUGCCUUGGGCCGGCAGGUUUAGUCGCAUGCAUCCGGAAGGCCAGCCCCAGGGGGUAUGCUGUCGCGCAACGAAGCACCCAGGCUGAN
rnacentral:lncRNA from 1 species